rnacentral:rRNA from 1 species
GAUGAACGCUGGCGGCGUGCCUAAUACAUGCAAGUCGAGCGAACGGACGAGAAGCUUGCUUCUCUGAUGUUAGCGGCGGACGGGUGAGUAACACGUGGAUAACCUACCUAUAAGACUGGGAUAACUUCGGGAAACCGGAGCUAAUACCGGAUAAUAUUUUGAACCGCAUGGUUCAAAAGUGAAAGACGGUCUUGCUGUCACUUAUAGAUGGAUCCGCGCUGCAUUAGCUAGUUGGUAAGGUAACGGCUUACCAAGGCAACGAUGCAUAGCCGACCUGAGAGGGUGAUCGGCCACACUGGAACUGAGACACGGUCCAGACUCCUACGGGAGGCAGCAGUAGGGAAUCUUCCGCAAUGGGCGAAAGCCUGACGGAGCAACGCCGCGUGAGUGAUGAAGGUCUUCGGAUCGUAAAACUCUGUUAUUAGGGAAGAACAUAUGUGUAAGUAACUGUGCACAUCUUGACGGUACCUAAUCAGAAAGCCACGGCUAACUACGUGCCAGUAGCCGCGGUAAUACGUAGGUGGCAAGCGUUAUCCGGAAUUAUUGGGCGUAAAGCGCGCGUAGGCGGUUUUUUAAGUCUGAUGUGAAAGCCCACGGCUCAACCGUGGAGGGUCAUUGGAAACUGGAAAACUUGAGUGCAGAAGAGGAAAGUGGAAUUCCAUGUGUAGCGGUGAAAUGCGCAGAGAUAUGGAGGAACACCAGUGGCGAAGGCGACUUUCUGGUCUGUAACUGACGCUGAUGUGCGAAAGCGUGGGGAUCAAACAGGAUUAGAUACCCUGGUAGUCCACGCCGUAAACGAUGAGUGCUAAGUGUUAGGGGGUUUCCGCCCCUUAGUGCUGCAGCUAACGCAUUAAGCACUCCGCCUGGGGAGUACGACCGCAAGGUUGAAACUCAAAGGAAUUGACGGGGACCCGCACAAGCGGUGGAGCAUGUGGUUUAAUUCGAAGCAACGCGAAGAACCUUACCAAAUCUUGACAUCCUUUGACAACUCUAGAGAUAGAGCCUUCCCCUUCGGGGGACAAAGUGACAGGUGGUGCAUGGUUGUCGUCAGCUCGUGUCGUGAGAUGUUGGGUUAAGUCCCGCAACGAGCGCAACCCUUAAGCUUAGUUGCCAUCAUUAAGUUGGGCACUCUAAGUUGACUGCCGGUGACAAACCGGAGGAAGGUGGGGAUGACGUCAAAUCAUCAUGCCCCUUAUGAUUUGGGCUACACACGUGCUACAAUGGACAAUACAAAGGGCAGCGAAACCGCGAGGUCAAGCAAAUCCCAUAAAGUUGUUCUCAGUUCGGAUUGUAGUCUGCAACUCGACUACAUGAAGCUGGAAUCGCUAGUAAUCGUAGAUCAGCAUGCUACGGUGAAUACGUUCCCGGGUCU